CACGUAGGGUGCGAGCGUUGUCCGGAAUUAUUGGGCGUAAAGAGCUCGUAGGCGGUGUGUCGCGUCGGCCGUGAAAACCUGCAGCUUAACUGUGGGCUUGCGGUCGAUACGGGCAUCACUGGAGUUCGGCAGGGGAGAAUGGAAUUCCUGGUGUAGCGGUGAAAUGCGCAGAUAUCAGGAAGAACACCCGUGGCGAAGGCGGUUCUCUGGGACGGUACUGACGCUGAGACGCGAAAGCGUGGGGAGCGAACAGG
rnacentral:rRNA from 1 species